rnacentral:tRNA from 1 species
GCAUGGUGGUUCAGUGGUAGAAUUCUCACCUUCCAUGAGGGAGACCCAGGUUCAAUUCCCAGCCAAUGCA